GGUCGCANGACUGNACCCAGCCAUGCCGCGUGCAGGANGACGGCCCUCUGGGUUGUAAACUGCUUUUAUCUGGGAAGAAAAAGUCCAUGCGUGGAAAAUUGCCGGUACCAGAUGAAUAAGCACCGGCUAACUCCGUGCCAGCAGCCGCGGUAAUACGGAGGGUGCAAGCGUUGUCCGGAUUUAUUGGGUUUAAAGGGUGCGUAGGCGGCUGAAUAAGUCAGCGGUGAAAGACUUCGGCUUAACCGGAGCAGUGCCGUUGAUACUGUUUAGCUUGAGUGUUGGAGGGGUACAUGGAAUUGAUGGUGUAGCGGUGAAAUGCAUAGAUACCAUCAGGAACACCGAUAGCGAAGGCAUUGUACUGGCCAACAACUGACGCUGAGGCACGAAAGUGUGGGGAUCGAACAGGAUUAGAUACCCUGGUAGUCCACACUGUAAACGAUGAUUACUCGCUGUUAUGGUGAAUGCUGUAGCGGCC
rnacentral:rRNA from 1 species